rnacentral:rRNA from 1 species
AAGUCGUAACAAGGUCUCCGUAGGUGAACCUGCGGAGGGAUCAUUAAAGAGUCUGUCUCUAAUCGAGACAACCUCCAACCCUUUUGUUGUUAACAUCCUUGUUGCCUCCCAGUGAGGGGAUUUGAUUCUCCAGCUGGGGUGGACACCUUAUACUCUGUUUUAAUUGUAGUCUGAGAAAACAAGUUUAAUUUAAACAAAACUUUCAACAACGGAUCUCUUGGUUCUGGCAUCGAUGAAGAACGCAGCGAAAUGCGAUAAGUAAUGUGAAUUGCAGAAUUCAGUGAAUCAUCGAAUCUUUGAACGCACAUUGCGCCCUCUGGUAUUCCGGGGGGCAUGUCUGUUCGAGCGUCAUUACACCAAUCAAGCCUCGCUUGGUAUUGGAAGAUGUGGUUUCCUCACGGGAGCUGCACUUCUUGAAUUUUUCCGGCUGGUUAAUCAUUAAUCUUCUGCGUUGUGGAAACAUAUCUCGCUGCAAGUAUUGAAGGUUGGCAUCGCCGUUAAACAAUCUCUACACAAGGUUGACCUCGAAUCAGAUAGGAAUACCCGCUGAACUUAA